rnacentral:rRNA from 1 species
UACGUAGGGGGCUAGCGUUGUCCGGAAUCAUUGGGCGUAAAGCGCGUGUAGGCGGCCCGGUAAGUCCGCUGUGAAAGUCCAGGCUCAACCCUGGGAUGCCGGUGGAUACUGUCGGGCUCGAGUCCGGAAGAGGCGAGUGGAAUUCCUGGUGUAGCGGUGAAAUGCGCAGAUAUCAGGAGGAACACCGGUGGCGAAGGCGGGUCUCUGGGCAGUAACUGACGCUGAGGAGCGAAAGCGUGGGUAGCAAACAGG